rnacentral:piRNA from 1 species
AUUCUUCCAAUCUUAGAGGUAC